rnacentral:rRNA from 1 species
AGUCACUGACAUUAGAUACCCCUGUAGUCCAGGGUGUAAACGCUGCAGACUUGGUGUUGGAAGUCCUUUGGGGGCAUUCAGUGCCGGAGAGGAGUUGUUAAGUCUGCUACUUGGGGAGUACGUCCGCAAGGAUGAAACUUAAAGGAAUUGGCGGGGGAGCACCGCAACGGGAGGAGCGUGCGGUUUAAUUGGAUUCAACACCGUAAACUCACCAGGGAAGACUGUUACAUGAAAGCCGAGAUGAAGACUCUGCUAGAUUUUCAG